UUGCACAGUGAACACCCAAGUGUGCUUUAUAGUCCCUUGGCUUUGACUCUGUGCUAGAGCAAUGUCUGUUCUUUUCCUCUGCAUUGAAAGGACUGUUCAUAAAGUCAGCACAUUC